rnacentral:sRNA from 1 species
AUUCUGGGUCCUGGCAAUAUGGCGUCCUCCUUGAUGGGCUGAUGAGAUGAGUUUCACUGUAGCUCCAAACCAGAGGGCAAAGCUCCCCUGACCCAAUAAGCCCACGUUGUCCGUUUCCUCCGUGGUUCCGUGUCGCCCGUUUCUCAGGACUCGUUCUCAGGCAGGAGAGAGCCUCGGAGCUGAAGGCCAGGACCAGCCAGGCCGCGCGGACCUGAGGUUGAGGAACCGGGUGCAGGCGAGCACGAUGGGCCGGUCCUGGCUCUGGUUGCAGCAGCUCAGACGAGUGCGGGACCCGCAGGGCUGAGAGUGGCUGGAGGAGACCCAGGGCCCUUUGAACCCGAUCUCUUGGCCGGAGACCUCAGCCCAGUCGGCCCAGUGGGCGAACCGGCACCAAGAGCGGCCUGUCUUCGGAACUGCUGAGGCGGUGGAGGCCGAGAGCAGGGUCAUCGUGAGGCCUGAAGUCUCUUACGCUUUUGGUAGCUCCCCUCGCAGCCCCUCUGGAAACGUACAGCCUCAGGAGCAGCCAGUGGCUUGGGACCUGGGGUGGUGUGUGUCUGCGGAGCUUCUUGGGCUGCCCCAUUUCCUAGCGGCCCCCACCUCCCCACUUCCCGCUCAGAGUUAGAGAUAAGGAUCUCAGACUUUUGCCUGAGUAAGGGUCUCCGCACUCUUUAUCCAUUUGGUUUUCGAUUUCCCGUUUUUGUUUCUUAUUUCACCAAUUCUGGUACACGCUAGUUUUUAAGGCUGGAGGUUCUCGAGCGCUUGCUGCCAAGGACUCCCCCACCCCCUCCCCCACUGAUGGAGUCCGAAAUGCUGCAAUCGCCUCUUCUGGGCCUGGGGGAGGAAGAUGAGGCUGAUCUUACAGACUGGAACCUACCUUUGGCUUUUAUGAAAAAGAGGCACUGUGAGAAAAUUGAAGGCUCCAAAUCCUUAGCUCAGAGCUGGAGGAUGAAGGAUCGGAUGAAGACAGUCAGUGUUGCCUUGGUUUUGUGCCUGAAUGUUGGUGUGGACCCUCCCGAUGUGGUGAAGACCACGCCCUGUGCACGCUUGGAAUGCUGGAUCGAUCCUCUGUCGAUGGGUCCUCAGAAAGCUCUGGAAACCAUCGGUGCAAAUUUACAGAAGCAGUACGAGAACUGGCAGCCAAGGGCCCGGUACAAGCAGAGCCUUGACCCAACUGUGGAUGAAGUCAAGAAGCUCUGCACGUCCUUACGUCGCAACGCCAAGGAGGAGCGAGUCCUCUUUCACUACAAUGGCCACGGGGUGCCCCGGCCCACAGUCAACGGGGAGGUCUGGGUCUUCAACAAGAACUACACGCAGUACAUCCCUCUGUCCAUAUAUGACCUGCAGACGUGGAUGGGCAGCCCGUCGAUCUUCGUCUACGACUGCUCCAAUGCUGGCUUGAUCGUCAAGUCCUUCAAGCAGUUCGCACUACAGCGGGAGCAGGAGCUGGAGGUAGCUGCAAUCAACCCAAAUCACCCUCUUGCUCAGAUGCCUUUGCCUCCGUCGAUGAAAAACUGCAUCCAGCUGGCAGCCUGCGAGGCCACCGAGCUGCUGCCCAUGAUCCCCGACCUCCCGGCUGACCUGUUCACCUCCUGCCUCACCACCCCCAUCAAGAUCGCCCUGCGCUGGUUUUGCAUGCAGAAAUGUGUCAGUCUGGUGCCUGGCGUCACACUGGAUUUGAUAGAAAAGAUCCCUGGCCGCCUGAACGACAGGAGGACGCCCCUGGGUGAACUGAACUGGAUCUUCACAGCCAUCACAGACACCAUCGCGUGGAACGUGCUCCCCCGGGAUCUCUUCCAAAAGCUCUUCAGACAGGACUUGCUGGUGGCUAGUCUGUUUCGAAAUUUUUUAUUGGCGGAAAGGAUUAUGAGGUCGUAUAACUGCACUCCCGUCAGCAGCCCGCGUCUGCCGCCCACGUACAUGCACGCCAUGUGGCAAGCCUGGGACCUGGCUGUUGACAUCUGUCUGUCUCAGCUGCCGACGAUCAUCGAGGAAGGCACUGCGUUUCGGCACAGCCCAUUCUUCGCCGAGCAGCUGACCGCAUUCCAGGUGUGGCUCACCAUGGGCGUGGAGAACCGAAACCCACCCGAACAGCUGCCCAUCGUCCUGCAGGUGCUGUUAAGCCAAGUGCACCGGCUGAGAGCAUUGGACUUGCUUGGAAGAUUUUUGGACCUGGGUCCCUGGGCAGUGAGCCUGGCCUUGUCUGUCGGCAUCUUCCCCUACGUGCUGAAGCUGCUCCAGAGCUCGGCCCGAGAGCUGCGGCCACUUCUCGUUUUCAUCUGGGCCAAGAUCCUCGCAGUGGACAGCUCGUGCCAGGCGGACCUCGUGAAGGACAACGGCCACAAGUACUUCCUGUCGGUCCUGGCGGACCCCUACAUGCCAGCGGAACACAGGACCAUGACGGCUUUCAUUCUCGCCGUGAUCGUCAACAGCUAUCACACGGGGCAGGAAGCCUGCCUUCAGGGAAACCUCAUUGCCAUCUGCCUGGAGCAGCUCAACGACCCACACCCCUUGCUUCGCCAGUGGGUGGCCAUCUGCCUCGGCAGGAUCUGGCAGAACUUCGACUCGGCGAGGUGGUGCGGCGUGAGGGACAGCGCUCAUGAGAAGCUCUACAGCCUCCUCUCCGACCCCAUUCCCGAGGUCCGCUGUGCGGCGGUCUUCGCCCUUGGCACGUUCGUGGGCAACUCUGCAGAGAGGACGGACCACUCCACCACCAUCGACCACAACGUGGCCAUGAUGCUGGCCCAGCUGGUCAGCGACGGGAGCCCCAUGGUCCGGAAGGAGCUGGUGGUGGCUCUGAGUCAUCUCGUGGUUCAGUAUGAAAGCAAUUUCUGCACCGUGGCCCUGCAGUUCAUAGAAGAGGAAAAGAACUACGCCUUGCCUUCUCCAGCGACCACAGAGGGAGGGAGUUUGACCCCAGUGCGAGACAGCCCGUGCACCCCCAGACUUCGUUCUGUGAGCUCCUAUGGAAACAUCCGUGCUGUCGCCACAGCCAGGAGCCUCAACAAAUCUUUGCAGAACCUGAGUUUGACAGAGGAAUCUGGUGGUGCGGUGGCGUUCUCCCCCGGAAACCUCAGCACCAGCAGCAGCGCCAGCAGCACCCUGGGCAGCCCCGAGAAUGAGGAGCAUAUCCUGUCCUUCGAGACCAUCGACAAGAUGCGCCGCGCCAGCUCCUACUCCUCCCUCAACUCCCUCAUCGGAGUUUCCUUUAACAGUGUUUACACUCAGAUUUGGAGAGUCCUGCUGCACCUGGCUGCUGACCCCUAUCCAGAGGUCUCGGACGUGGCCAUGAAAGUACUCAACAGCAUCGCCUACAAGAGACAGGGUCUCAGUGUGUUGCCCAAGCUGGUCUCUAACUCCUCAGUUCAAGUGAUCCUCCUGCCUUGGCCUCCUGAAGUGCUGGGAUUACAGGCAUGAGCCACCACACCCAGACUUUUUUUCCCUUUCUGAUAGCAGUAAUUUUUGACUCAUUCAAAACCCUUCCAGUUAAUGGUUUCUUAUUCAUGGCCAUUCUAGCUAAAGGGAACUUUUCAAAGAAUCAGUUUUUGGUUUCAUUGGUUUUUCUCUGUUGUUUGUCCAUUUUCCAUUUGAUUGAAUGAGCUUUCAUCAAUAAAGCCUGCUUUCUUCUGCUU